rnacentral:pre_miRNA from 1 species
CAACUACUCCCUCUGUCCCAAAUUUCUUGUCUUAGAUUUGUCUAGAUACGGAUGUAUCUAAUACUAAAANAUUUGUCUAGAUACGGAUGUAUCUAAUACUAAAAUGUGACUUGAUACAUCCGUAUCUAGACAAAUCUAAGACAAGAAUUUUGGGACGGAGGGAGUACUUU